UGUAGCCCUAAAACGUCCAAAAAAAAAAAAUUAUUUCAAAAUUUAAAGAGUUUAUUUAGAAAAACUAACCAAAAAAGUCUAUUUUUCACACACGUCUACUAGCAGGUACUAUGAAAUAAUGGAUUUUGCUUUAAAAUAAUUCAUUGAUCAGGGAUGGAAGGCAUACAGAUGAAAUCAGGCUGGCCUUACACUGGUAGUUGUUGAAGCUUUUGAAGAUGGAUGCAUAGGAGUUCAUUGACGAUUGCCUCCACUUUUGUAUGUUUGAAAACCUCCAUAAUAAAAAAAAGUUGACCAUAAACAAACAAACAUGAAAGUUGGAGCCCGACUGCCUAGGAAGUUACUGAAUCCAUUUGUGUGCCAGUUCUCUCACCUAUAAGGGAUAACUGUAUCUGUCCUACAUGGUUGUCAUGAAAAUUAAAUUAGGUCAAUUCCCCAAAAGGUUAAAACAAUGCUUGGCUAGCAUCAUCAACUUAUGGGGAGAAAGAUGGUCACGGACCAAAGCCCAUCAAGGAAAGCUGUCUUUCUCCAUUCUCUGGCACUGCUCUGCACCCCUCCACCCCUCUCCCCUGCACAGAGAGAUCCUUGAGGAAUAAAAGGAAGAAGGGUUCUGGGGGGAUUCCAGGAAAUAAGGAAAGACCAUGGCGCCAGUCUUGGAGAAAGCAGGGAUGCUGGUUGGGGGUUGAGUGUGGUGUUCUUGGAGUGGGCUCUGGGACUGAAUCCUAGAUUAUGAACCACUCAGGGUUCAAGGGACUGAAAGUAGCCAUUGUGGUGGGAAGCAUGGUUUGAGAGGAUGGGUGGAGGUUCUCCUGGAGGAAGAAGAUGUCAGCAGGAGUGGGACAUGCAGCCCUUCAAAACAGGUCUUUUGGAGUUCCCUGGUAGCCUGGUGGUUAAGAAUCUGGCAUUGUCACUGCUGUGGGCUCAAGUUACUGCUGUGGCUCGGGAUCACUCCCUGGCCUGGGAACUUAUAUGUGCUGUGAAGGUGCCUAUAUAUAUAUAUAUAUAUAUAUAUAUAUAUAUAUAUAUAUGAAGGGGGGGAAGCCACUGGAAAGUGUGUAUGUUGACAGAGAGGGUGGGGAGUCACCAGAUCAGAAUUGCAUUGCUGGAACUCUGCCAUGAGGAAGAGGAAGAGAUUGGAAGGGGGCCAGAGUGGAGAAAGGGAGACCAGUUAGGAGGCUUCUGCAGUGGCUCAGGAGCUAGGUGAUGGGGGCGUGGUCUAGGAUUCUAGCAGUAGAGACAGUAGAUUUGAGAGCUGUCUGAGAUAAAACUUUGGGCCUCUGGUUGUAUUUAGAGGGUGAAGGAGAGGAAAGCAAGCAUACUGGUGACUCCCAGGUUUUUGGGAGUCAACUGGCUGGCGGGUUGGGCUGCCACACAGGCAGGGAGUGGCGUGGGAGGACAGAUUCGGAGGAAAGAGAAGUUCCUUAACAUGAAUGAAUAUCACAUGCACUGUGCUUUAUGCAGGGCACUAUGCGGGAGGAGCGGUGCUUCAAAAGCAAAUAUACCACUUACUGCCCUCAAGAGUGGUGCAAAAACGUACCAGUAAUGACUGCCUGAACAGAGUAGCCUCAGAUGUGCAUUUAUGAUACAUAUGUUUGACUGGGUUACUUUGCUGUACAGCAGAAAUUGACACAACACUGAUAUCAAAUAUGCUUUAAUUUUUUUUUUUAAUGUGCAUUUAUGGCUUCAGUGGUGAUCACAGCAAAGGCCUCAGUCAUUAAGGCCACUAGAAGGUUCUCAAGUGUCUGUCAUGUGACUGAAUGUCCCAGAACAGGUACAGGGAGAAAAACAACCCACAAAUCUUUAUUCAGUACAUUACUAGCCCAUCUCAGGGUAGGAUGGAGACAAGGAAAAGGCAAGAUCACCCUUCCCCUCCCAAAAGGUGUGCACAGGGGUUGACGAGACCAAGAAAUCAGACACAAAAGUACUAGAGGACCACAGGGCUGGCUGACCUUUGAGGAUCCUAUUUGGGGUGCCAAAGAGGCAGGCAGGAGGGAGACCUGGCCCCACCAGGGGCGCUGGAGGCAGCAGGUCACCGGGGUCUGCAGCGUGAGAACGGCCCCUCCCAGCCUCCAGCCCGGGCUGUAUAUCUGAUCUGCGGGCUCGACCCCAGUCUUCUGGGCCGAGGGCGAGUUAGCGACGCCGUGUCGGGGAUCCCGAAGGAAAGAGACCACUGUCACCGUGCCCCCAAGAAUCAUAUCCAGUCGGACAGAGCCAAGCGCUCGACGGCGACAGGGCCCAGGCAGCUGAUUUUCCGGGCUUCGGCAGUCCGGCAAGAGUGUGCGUACCCGACUCUAAGGUCUCGAUAGGGGACCACCGGGAGACCCCUCGCUGCUUCCACGCGACCAGAAGUUUGAGUUGCUGCAGUGGGUGUCGCUCCUGGAGCUGCAGCCCAGAAGAGUCCUAGUGAAGUGGAGCUGACCCUUGGACCAGAUGGGCAAAGACUCCAGACGGAGUAGGAUUAUCUUGGGAGGAUUUCUACAAAGAAUUGCACUGCGGAAUCUUCAUGCGGAUUCUACCGUCGCUACCCUGCCCCUCGAUGCUCUCCAGCCACCGUGAUACUCAGUUCCUGGAGCAAGCUGGGUGCUUGCCGCCACUUCCCCUUGAACAUUCCCUGCCCAGAGGAACUUAACUUUUUAUCUUCGCCUGACUUCAGCCUAAACAUUGCAUUUUCCGAUCCUCACCCUGCUUCCGCAAAAUCCACUAUGUGCUCCUAGAGUAGCCAGCACUUUCCUUUUACAGCCCUUGCAUUUAUAUUUAUGGUUUUGAGUAUCUGCCUUUCCUACUGUGAGAGCCACAGGGCAGAAGUUGUGACUUUUUGAUUAAGUCCUUAGUGCUGGCAGGAGUGGGCUCACAGAAGGGGCUCAAAUAUUUGCUGCUUUAUGAGUUAAACAGCAGGGGCUUAGCCCUGGCAACCUCUACUUUCCUCUGGCCAACCACAUAUCUCUCCUGGGCCUAAUUCCUGGGCAGCAAGAGAACUGGGAGUGGGCGGUGAGGUUCAGAAGUGCUUAACAAGCACCAGUACCAAGGACUUUAGGUAAGGGGAGCAGGCAGACAGUAGAGCAAGGCACCAGUGUGGAUAGUGCACACACUCAUGCAGAAUAGAGUAGCAGAUUCCCAGCUGAAUUAUCUGGUCAGUGAGCCAGACUCAGGGAGGAUAGAGGGCGAGCUGCCUGUUUUGCCCCAAAGGGCAGCAGGAACGUCUGGUUUUGACCUCAGGGAACCUCUCCCCACCCUCCACCCCCAGGCUCCUUAGGCUUAUGGUGAAGUGCAAGUUUGGCUCGUGCCUUCUGGACACUGCAUGAUUUGUAGCAGUGAAUUCUUCAUCCAGGUUAAAUCACAAGGAAUGGAACUUACUAGCUGAGAGAGAUUCUAGCUGGGCGAGGAAGAACCAUUUGUAUCUUGGAUUUGUAUCGCAUCUUUCCCUACUAGACUAAGAAGCUUGAGAGUAGGAAUCAAGCCUUUUAUAAACCCUCUGCAUUCCCCACAUUACUCAAUAUGUGUGGGUAUCCUGGAAAUGAGAAAGACUGCGUCCAGCCCACUGGCCAACACUGUGCUGCUGCCUCUGAGGUUAGGACAGGGGCGAUGUCAUCUAAGAACCCCAUCAUCUGGAUUUAAGCUUCCUUCUCUCCCAGGAAGCCUUUCAUAUACUUAUCCAAAGAGUAACACAACAGAGCCACCUGCAGUAUGUUAAUUUUUUAUUCUUCAUAAAGUGCUCAAAACAUGAAGAACAAGCUCUUUAUAAACAGGAGGUACACCUAGGAAGACAAAAGCAAAGCAGAACUGUGCCUGCUCCCUGCCCACGCCACCUGCAACUCUCCUCCAAGUUGUGGCUAGGAGCAGAAACAGCCGACAAGAACCCUGGGCUGCAACUCAGAACUCUUCUGAAGGCAUCCCUGUCCUGGGCACUUUGGAAGCCCAUGAUCAAGGGUGAGUGGAAGACCAGGGUCUGGACCUGAACAGGGCCCAGAGGAACAUCUCAUGGAAAAGUGAUCCCCUUCCUCCUGGAGAGAGACCCAUCCAACCCCCCAUGACCACCCAAAGUCUUGAGCACCUGCGGACACUCCUCAACUUUGACGAGGGGUUCUUAAGGUAGAUAGCAGGACAGGGGUUUUCCCCCUGCGCGGGGCUCCUC